CCCAUUUAAGAUGAUUAACACCCUGCGAACCUCACGCGAGACCUGAGUUCCUAGGUUGAAACCCCAAGCUCUUUCCCACUUGCUUGUGAGCAGACUAUCCAUCUCAGGAGUUACCGGAUGAAGGAUGUGCAGGUAGCCCUUUUAUUUAUCUUUGCCUUGAAAGAAAAAAAAAAACAAGCAGUUAUGUGUACAAAGCACUGUGAUGUCUCAGAUGAUUUGUAAGAACUGGCUGAAGAAGCUGGAGUCCAAGGCUGUGGACACAGGAAGGAGUAAGAGCCAAGUAUUGCUGGCAACCUCAAGAAGCUAGAAAAGGCAAGGCCAUGGAUUCCCCCCAGAGUUUCCAGAAAGGAAAACAGCCCUGCUGAUUCUUUGAUUUUAGCUUUGUGAGAACUGUGUCAGCUUUCCAACCUUCAUAAUUGUAAGAUAAUAAAUGUGUGCUCUUUAAUAAACAUAAGAUAAUAAAUGUGUGCUGUUUUAAAGCUA